UCAACCCCAGAAACCCAACCAGCUUCAGCUGCAACAUCAACUAAACUAACUGCAGCCCAAGCGGAAGUGGAGUUUGCCAAAUGUGAUUGCUGUGGUCUAACCGAAGAGUGCACCCCAGCUUACAUUGAAAGAGUACGGGAGAGAUACCAUGGCAAAUGGAUUUGUGGGCUAUGUGCGGAAGCUGUAAAAGAUGAGAUUGUG
rnacentral:misc_RNA from 1 species